CCACGAUGCUGUGCUUCAGGGUUUGAAGCCCUGACUGAGCUCUGUCUGGCGUGUGGCAGCUCCCUCCAGAUUGAAUGGAGGGCAGGAGGAGGGGACACGACAGCCCAUUGAAUGGAAGCAAACCAGGUGACAGAGCCAUUAAGAAGCGGCGGAUACAACGGAACAUGUUCUCCCAGCACAGAAGAGCAGAGGACUGACACAGAGAACGGUGCUCAUGGAGAAGCAGACACAAGGAGCCCCUGCUGCCUGACACACAUACGAAAUGCCUGGAAGAGGCAAACCAUGGAGACAGAAGGUGGCUGAGCCCUUGCCUCAGGCUGGGAGUUGCGGUGUGGGAGCAGAGGGGCAGGAAGUUUCUUCAGGGGUAAUAGAAAUAUUCUAAGAUUUGCCUGUAGCAGUGACUGAAUAGUUCUGUAAGUAUACUAAAAUAAAAAAAAAGUCAUCGAUUGGCUCAAAU
rnacentral:lncRNA from 1 species